rnacentral:lncRNA from 1 species
AACAAAACGAAACAAAAGAGCAGAAGUCAAGCUUUUGGCUAAUAUCCACCCCUGGAGCAGAUAGCUGUAGCCUAUCUCUGCAGCCUCAGGAAGUGGGCAAGAGGGGGAGAUUUGUGUGUGCUUGCGAGUAUGGGUGUCGUGGGUGGUGCAGAUUUCCGGGGUCAGCCAGCAACUGCCCUGGGAUUCCAACGGCAGAGGCCCAGCCUGGGGAGAACUUUCCAAAGACCAGCCAUUUCCUCUGGGCUGCUCCAGGGGCCUUGCCCGAGCCCACCAGCUCAUUUAAGCUCUGCUCUGGUCCCGCUGCAGGACUACAGAGCAGCCGGCUCCGCGCCCAGUUUGCCUGCCGUGUAACAGGAUAGUUUAUAUUAUACCGCCGAGCAGAAAUAAAACUACUGACUCAAACAUUGCAAACAGAUGCCGCCCGCCAGAGCCCAGGGUCCGCGGCCAGAUGCUGUUCUGAGAACCCUGGGAGGGCAGAAGCUGGGAGUCUGGUCCCUCCAGACCCUACAGAAUUCGGCCAGUUCGCCACUUGAGACCUGCCCGUUUCUGGAUUUUAAUGGCCUUUUUUCCCAGGCAGAGGUGAAAGAAACCCGGGAAGCCUCCUGGAAAUCCCAUGUGAGUUCUCCUCAAAUACCCCCAAAUAAAUAUGCUCUGAGUG